rnacentral:rRNA from 1 species
AGAACGAACGCUGGCGGCAUGCCUAAUACAUGCAAGUCGAACGAACUCUUCGGAGUUAGUGGCGCACGGGUGCGUAACGCGUGGGAAUCUGCCCCUUGGUUCGGAAUAACAGUUGGAAACGACUGCUAAUACCGGAUGAUGACGAGAGUCCAAAGAUUUAUCGCCAAGGGAUGAGCCCGCGUAGGAUUAGCUAGUUGGUGAGGUAAAGGCUCACCAAGGCAACGAUCCUUAGCUGGUCUGAGAGGAUGAUCAGCCACACUGGGACUGAGACACGGCCCAGACUCCUACGGGAGGCAGCAGUAGGGAAUAUUGGACAAUGGGCGAAAGCCUGAUCCAGCAAUGCCGCGUGAGUGAUGAAGGCCUUAGGGUUGUAAAGCUUCUUUACCCGAGAUGAUAAUGACAGUAGUGGAGAAUAACGCCCCGCUAACUCCGUGACCAGCAGCCGAC